GUCCCGGGCGAUGGGACGGGCACGAAUCGGGUCAGGCCGGGAACGGAGCAGCCCUAAGAGCCGCUGUUUCAGGCGCAAGGCGCCCGGGCCCAA
rnacentral:SRP_RNA from 1 species